AUGGCCACCCUCCUUCUUCUUGCGCUGUCGGCCUCCAUCGCGCCACAGCCGACGCCGUCGCAGCGCCGGUCACCAUGGACCGUCUUGUCGUGGAUGACGUCCUCGCGAGGCCGACCAUCACACCAUCAUCAUAUUGCGGCAUCGCACCGCAAUCGGCCACCAGCGGCAUCGCGCCGCCAACGGCCUCCACCUUGCGCCACCGUCCUCCACCUCACAUGGAGUCGGCCGCGCCGCCGUCGCCGCCUCGGAUCUACCGGGGCUCUGAUGCCAAUUGUUGGCGCCGCCUCACCUCGCAGCGCUGCUUCUUCUACCUCGAGUUGCUGCCUCUCACAGCUCCCUCUCUCUUUCUCUGGUUGUUUCUCUCAAGAACACAUGAGAACACACACGCACACAUGCACCAAGAGAAAUACAAUGACUUUGCCAAAAGCACUUUCUUGGUGGCACACCGUGGCUACAUGUUUACUUCAGCCCUCUCGGCCUCGGCUCAAACAACAAGCUUUACAUCUCUUAUAUAGAGACUCACGCGCACACACAGCCACGGCCACACCGGCCACUAACUCACGCAUGCACGGGCCAGCCGCCACUCUCGGCUGCUAA
rnacentral:rRNA from 1 species